GAAAUUAGAAAAUUAUUAAAAUCUUAAAUGAUUGGUUUAAGGUCAAAUAAUAGACCUAGACAGAGAAUAAGUAUAUGUGUUUGAUGUUUUCAGAAAGGAAUUUUGAGGAUUUAAAAUUUCUUUUAGUGAAUUAUUAAGGAUUAAAGGUAUAUGAGUAUAUGUUCAGGAUUACGGUAUCAUGUAUACGGAAUGUGGUUAAGGGUCAAGUGUUGACCAGAUAAAUUAUAUAUGUGUCAAACCCUAAUAUUAUUAGAACGUCAACGUUCAUUUAUAAAAUUAUUACGUUUGACAAGAAACCCUAGAAAUCGGUUCUGGAAACCCUAAUUUUAAUACCGGGAAUUCGAAACCCUAAUUUCAAAUUAUCGAACUUAAACUUUUCCGUCAGGAACCCUGAUGACGGAUUUGAAAACCCUAAUUUCUAAUUAGGGAAAACGAAAGUGUUAAUUUAAUAUUUUAAUGUUAAUUAGGAUAUAUUAAUUCUAAUUUCAAGUUAAGUAAUUAGAAAACCUUAAUCUAAUUACGAGAUUUAAUUCCUAAAUUAGAAAAUUUAUUUUCUAUUAGAAACCCUAGUUAGUGGGUUAUAAACCCUAAGGGUUAAAAAGUUGUGUGUAUGGAAUAUGAACAUUAUGUGAUGGUUUAUAUUUAUUUAUUAUAUAAACAAACAAAAGAAAUUCGUGUAAACCUAAUUAUAUAUUAGGAAUGAAGGAUUUAAUAACUUAAGGGUUAUGGAAAAAGAGAAUUGUGGUAUUUAGAAUACUUACUAAUUCUAGGAGAUUUAUUUUAUAUAUCUCAAAUGAUUAAUUUUAUAACCUAAUUUUAGCAAGUCUAAUUGGGUUAAGGAAAUAAAUGUGCAUGAGUAAGGAUUUAAGUUAUAAUUGAGGAAAUGAAAACCCUAAUUAAAUGAUUUGGGUUGGAUAAAAAUUAAGAGUGUUUGACUAUGUUAAUUUACAUGGCCCAAAGAAUUAAAUUUUAAGUCCAAUAUAUUAUUUAUUGAUAGCCAAAAGAUGGAAAUGGUGGCCCAAAUUUAAGCCCAAUUAAGGAGGGACAUAUUGGACAUUUGGUAUGCUAAAUAAGAAUUAAAAAGAAAUCAAUUAAUAAUGUGGAAAUGUCCAUUUUACCCUUUUUGUAUUAUUUGUAAAUUAUUGAAACAAAUCUUGCAAAUCUAGCAAUAAUGGAGUGGGGAAUAAAUCUAGCCAUGUGCUCUAUAUUAAUUAGCAUCCAAUGUUGGUACAUAACAAUUAACUAAGCUAUGCAUUAUUAUCAAUUCAUCAGAAAAGAGAGAGAGAAUGAGUGGAGGUAUUACUAGGUCACAUGGCCGGAUGAUCUAGGGAAGAGAAAGGGAGAAGGAAUGAGAUAUCUCCAAUAUAUCUACACAUUUAUUAAACCACAAAAGCUAUUAUUAUUUCUCUCUCAUUCCAUUAUUUUUUUUUUUAGCUAGCAAAUGAACUAGAGAAAGAGAGAGAGAGAGAGAGGGAGUUCGGCAGCCCUUGAGGAAGAAGGGAGAAGAGAAUGAGGCCAUCCAUGGAAGGAAGAAGGAAGGAGAAAGAAAAUUAAGCAAAGGUAUAAUCAUUUUUGUUUAUAUAAUUUUAUUUUGAAUAUUCUAAAGGAAAUCUUGAAUCUUUGUUUCUAAACUCAAAAACCUUAGAUAUAUGUGGUUAUGAGUAUUUUAUGUUUAGAUCUAACAAUAUUGGGUGUUGAUUUUGGUUGGAAUCAAAGGAAUAGAAAAAUGGAAAUUUUCCGGAAAAGUUAAACUUUUAAAAAGUGUUUUGAUAUGGUGUUUUAGAUCAAGUGUUGAACUUAUGAUUUUAAACCAUAUGAAGGAAGAUCUACAUGAUAUAUGAUAUUUUAUGGUUAGAUCUUGCCAUUUUUAGGGUUGAUAAGCUUGAACAAAGAAGAAGAACCAAAACAGUUUUUUUGUUUUAAAUGAAUUAAUGGACUGCUGCCCUAAACAGAAAAUUUCGGAUUUGUUAGGGUGCUCUAAAAAUUCUGGACUUGUGAUAUGUUAUAGUACACUCAAUAAGCUUUCCAUAGACUCCGAAAUGGACUAAAUCCGACAUCGGAGGAGCGAGUUAUGGGAUUUCUACCAAACUACUCAAAGAUAAGAAAAAACUGUUAGAAUGACAGUUUUUACCAGCCAAUUCCGGACUAAAUUCCGGGAGUUUAACAUGUCCAAAUAUGGAUUGUGAUAGAUGAAAAUUGUAGUUUGGAAAGAUACGAACCCAACAAAAUUGACGGAUCAUUAAUCAGAGUUACAGAUUUCGUUUUAUAUAAGUUUUAGUAAAGGACUCCGAAACUGCCAAAGUGCAAAAAGUUGCUGCCCAAAAUUUUCCGGGGACUGUUUCGGACAUUUAUUUAAUGAUAAAAAUUCCAGGCUUUUGGGAAAUGAAAAUAUAUGGUAUUAUGUAGCUCGUGUCCAAAAAUGAGCUAAUUCCGAGUUAAAACGACCAAGUUAUGACUAUUCUAAUUUUUGUGAUUUUCCGACGGAAAUCGCUAUAACCGGAGUUCUACAACUCCGAUUGCCACGAAAUUUAAAAUGGAGCAUCACGUUAACAUAUAUAAGGUUAUGUCAAAAGAUGGGCAUCUCUGGAGUUAAGCACGAGGUAGCUAAUUUUCUUAAGUCACGCACUAAUUAUGAUUUUUGAAAAAUAGUAAAAGAAAUUAAAAAAUUACGGAAAAAUAUUUUUUAUGUAUGAAAUACAUGUAUAUAUGUUUGACCAAAGGAUAAAAAAAUAAUAAGUUGAUUUGGUAUUUUUCGUGAAAAAGAAUAGUGAUUUCGGGAUACUGAAAUAAAAUCCGUCUUACUGAAAUGGUAUUUCGGUUUACUAAGAUGUUAUCUAAUUUACUAGGAUAACAUAUAAAAAUGAAUAACUUAUAAGUAUAAGUUAUGAUGUGAUUAAAAGAAUAUCAAAGUAUAAUAAUAAUAUUAAGACUUAAAACUAAUGUCUAAUACUUAACUAUAUGUUAUGACUAACCGAAAGAUCUAUUAUAGGUUUUAUAUGCUGUAUAGACUGAUAGGAGUAUGUGGAAAUAUGUUUAAGUUAUUUUAUAACAAUGAUGAUAUUAUUCUAAUAUUGGAGAUCUAUAUUAUUAAUAUUAGGUCUUCAGGAGAAGCGUAUUAUAUUGCGUUACGGUAAUCAACGGUUCAGGCAAGUUUUUCAAGUUCUUUUUACUUAAACUCUUUUAAGAGUGGUUUCAGACAGAUAUGCUUAUGAAUUGUACUCUGUACAUAUUGCAUGUAUUCAUCAGGUAUGAAAGGCUGAUCACCUUCAUUACCAGUCAGUUCAGAUAUAAUUGUUAUGUUCAUUUUCAAUGUUCAUUCAGCUUUGAAAUUUUGUUCAUGCUAAUUCACAACUACAUUGUGAAGGAUAGCCAGCUUAUUAUUCAAACUCUUUCAAUCAUGAUAUAUCUUUACCUUGUUUUUUUUAAACUUGCUGGGCAACUUUCAUGCUCACCCUUGCUAUAUCAUGAUAAAACAUUGCAGAUAAGGCGAAUACG
rnacentral:lncRNA from 1 species